rnacentral:rRNA from 1 species
GAUCAUGGCUCAAGACGAACGCUGGCGGCGUGCCUAAUACAUGCAAGUAGAACGCUGAAGGAGGAGCUUGCUUCUCUGGAUGAGUUGCGAACGGGUGAGUAACGCGUAGGUAACCUGCCUGGUAGCGGGGGAUAACUAUUGGAAACGAUAGCUAAUACCGCAUAACAGUAGAUGUCGCAUGACAUUUGCUUAAAAGGUGCAAUUGCAUCACUACCAGAUGG